GACGUAGGGGGCGAGCGUUGUCCGGAUUUAUUGGGCGUAAAGCGUGCGUAGGCGGCUGCGCAAGUCGGGUGUGAAACCCCGGGGCUCAACCCCGGAACUGCAUCCGAUACUGCGUGGCUAGAGGUAGGUAGGGGAGAUCGGAAUUCCUGGUGUAGCGGUGAAAUGCGCAGAUAUCAGGAGGAACACCGGUGGCGAAGGCGGGUCUCUGGACAGUUCCUGACACUGAGGCACGAAGGCCAGGGGAGCAAACGGG
rnacentral:rRNA from 1 species